AGAAAUUUAUCACACAAUACUUUCACAUUCAUGCGCAAGAAAGAGGAUAGAAGUUCCUUAUAGUGUCCAUUAGGGUUGUGCUACCUUAAAAUAGUCAUCGACUUAGAAGCAAGACGACGAGGUCGGAAAACCGCCGAUUAUUGUCAAAUAUCCAACACACCUUUAUUAGAUCGACAGUGAUUAUUGAUAUACUCAUGUGCAGCUUUUGGUCGCAAACUUUCAAACAAAGACACAGUUGAAAAUUCUUUUAUAUUGUAUUUAUAUUUCUAAGGUAACAACGAACGACAGUUUCACACUCAGAAAGUAUCGGAAAGCCAACAGGCGACAAUUUAGCCACAUACCGGGCGUGACUACAGGAACAAGAGGUGUGAUGUGGUUUGACUUUCUUAUAAUAGCAGUAGGCUUUGCCUUUGGGAAAAUAUUUUGGAUUUUCUCAUUUUUUUAAUUCACUCUCCCUCUCAGAUUUUGCGUUUGCCAGCUGAUUUGCUAACAUGAUUCAAAAGCUGUGUAAAAUUAUCGCCAGUUGCAUCGCACCUGAAUGAAAGAGGUAAAAGUAA